rnacentral:rRNA from 1 species
UACGAAGGGGGCAAGCGUUGUUCGGAAUUACUGGGCGUAAAGGGCGCGUAGGCGGUGCACUAAGUCAGGCGUGAAAGCCCUGGGCUCAACCCGGGAAUUGCGCUUGAUACUGGUGCGCUUGAAUCCAGGAGAGGUUGGUGGAAUUCCCAGUGUAGAGGUGAAAUUCGUAGAGAUUGGGAAGAACACCGGUGGCGAAGGCGGCCAACUGGACUG